rnacentral:rRNA from 1 species
GGGGAAAGAAGACCCUGUUGAGCUUGACUCUAGUCUGACGUUGUGAAAUGAUCGUUGAGGUGUAGUAUAAGUGGGAGCUUCGGCGUACUUGAAAUACCACUACUCUUCGUAUUGUUUUACUUAUUCCGUGACGCGAGGCUCCGCUGCCCUGACGGGUACCGGAUUCUAGUGUUAACGGGUGCCAUUCGGCGCCCCGACUCGCGCGGAAGACAAGCUCAGGUGGGGAGUUUGGCUGGGG